UCGUUAACGAACGAGACCUUAACCUGCUAAAUAGUUAGGCCAACGUUUGUUGGUCGUCAACUUCUUAGAGGGACUAUUGACUAUUAGUCAAUGGAAGUUUGAGGCAAUAACAGGUCUGUGAUGCCCUUCGAUGUUCUGGGCCGCACGCGCGCUACACUGAUGCAUUCAUCGAGCUUACAACCUUGACCGAUAGGUCUGGGUAAUCUUUGCAACAUGCAUCGUGCUGGGGAUAGAUCAUUGUAAUUAUUGAUCUUCAACGAGGAAUUCCUAGUAAACGCAGGUCAUCAACUUGCAUUGAUUACGUCCCUGCCCUUUGUACACACCGCCCGUCGCUAAUACCGAUUGAAUGGCUC
rnacentral:rRNA from 1 species